GGAGCUGACAGGGUGAAAAAUGCCCUAAAAUAAGGCGUGUUUUUUCACAAUUACUUCAAAACUACGGCAAACAGCUGAGACAUGAGGGUCUGAAAUUUCCACAGUGCUAGCAAAACGCAGCCAGCCAUGUGGUCGAUUGGAGGACUUUCAACAGACUGAGUUUGGUCUUCCAACAUGGUGCUUGAUGCAGUUACAAGGAGCAGAGGGAAGAUAAAUAAACAAUGAGAAAGAGAGGAGGAGUGGAGAAAGAGAGGAGGAGUGGAGGCUCAGGUGGAGGAUGUAAAUGUGGGUGAGUCGAUGAUGGAUCAGUUCUGACAGAAUUGGAGAGAGGCGAACAACGGGGCCAGGGUAUCUGCAUAGUUCACCCUUCUUACAUGUUCAAUUUCUGUUUUGUUUUAUUCACGCCAAGAAGUGUGAUGCUGACCGUACUCGUUACUCAUGCAAAAAACAGUACAGCUGACGUUGCUGUUUGCUCUUGCAAAAAUAAAUUAAAACUGAUGGUGGGCAAAUCUGAAUUAAUAGAACUUAGAAAUGUACUGCUGCAUCAGUGUGAGAAAUCAUCAAAACAUUGUGUAUUAUGGUUUAUUUUCAAUUGGUUCUCUGUGUUAGCUCAUUUUCCAUACUCAUAAUACGGUUGACAGAAAUUAGGAAGUUUGACAUGGAAAUGUAAAGCAGAGAGUUAAUUGGGCCUUGCCUCGACAGUAUUUACUCAAUUCCAUUCAGUCUACAGGGAAUACUAAGUCUAGGAAACCUCCAUCUCCAUAUAUCUAAAAGGUCUCCACGUAAUUGUGUAUAGAGAAGAAUGUUAUAUACUCUUUCAUUGCCGCCAAUUACUUUUGAGUUUUUUUCCAAAUCUAUAUUAAGUACUCUGAGAGAUUUUAGGUGAGUUUGACUCGCGCUACCUCUAAGUAUCUGCAAAUUGAACUAUCGAGAGAUUGCAUUUCGAAGCAUGUGGCUACGACACAUUCCUUGUAUGUUUAUAUGAGUUUGUGCUCAUGAGCGUGAUAUGUCGGUUAAUUGUUUGGAGCUCUGAAAAAUGUUCUUCUCCAUGGUGGUUUAGUCUACAAUAUCAUUGCUAAUGUUUUUCAUUUCAUUAUAAUCGUUGCGGUACUUACCUGAGGCGUCAUGCAUGCAGCUAAUUGUUUUGAGAGGACACUGAUGGCCAACUUUGAUAUCUUUGAAUAAACAAUACCUUCCAUAAUUCCAGUGUUAAAAUGGAUAUGACACCCCUGGUGUGUGCUGUAACAGGUAUGCCUACUCAUUGACCUCAACUUCUACAUAAUAUAUUUUACAUAUCCAGCAAAGACAGAAAUGUUGCUGUACUCACUUACCCAACAAGACAUUCUAACUUACACAAACGUACAGUACGUCAAGUCACAUACUCCCUAUUGAAUGGUUAAAUUGAAUAGCCUUUCUCCCAUUACUAUACUGUCGACCCAUGGAGAGUUAUGAGGCAGAGUCCCUUGCAACUACCAGUAAAAGUGAGGUAACCUAACUCUAGUGGAAACAAACAGACAAUAAAUAAGGCAGUAUCCUAGGUACCAGCUACUACUUUAAUGUACCGCUUACAAUGUUUGCACCCUAAAUAGCACCCUAUUUCUUAUAUAGUGCACUACUUUGGCCACAGGCUCUGGUCAAAAGGAGUGCACUAUAUAGGGAAUAUGGUGCCAUUCGGGACACGUGUGAGAUAUUUUCUAAUGUAAUAGGUAUCCAGGGAAAGAGCAAUCACUAAGGACUGGUUUAUUGACACUUACUGACCACUCAAAUACAAUACCAUCAGACAGUGAUUACAUAAUGUCCUGUUGGACCAGGUUUUGGUUAACCACAAAUACUCAUUCCAAGUGUGACUCAUACAGAUCCUCUUGGACAUGCCAAAAUGUCUUGCUGUUACCCAUGACCUCCCUUUUCCAUAAUGAGAGAUACCAUUGUCCAGAAGGUCAGGUGAGGUCUAAACUUGAUACUGCAGUGAGUCCAUUACUCCCUGACCCACCCCCUAACUCCGCUGUCAUCCUCAUGAACUUAGUUACAUGCGUUUAUGACCUCUCCAUUUAAGAGCCCACAGUGGGACAUGGCUCUCUCCCCACCCAAUAAAAUCAGAAGGGAAGCAAAGGAGAAAUGCUAGCAGUGACCUCGCCAAAGUUUUAUGCAGCUGUAAAACAAUUUACAUAUGUUCAGCAUGUUCGGACCCCAAGGGUGCAGAAGUGAAAAGGUUAUCAAUGAGAGACCAUCUGUAACUGCCUUCAAAGGGAGUUUUUCAGUUCAUAAAACCCAAGCACUUUUGAUUUAUUAGAAUUUCACUGUCUGAUUUAUUUUUCCCCAAAGCCGAGCCAAGUAAUAACAUUUAGAGUGGAUCAGAAGGUGUACUUCUGUGAGCUGAGGUUGCUGAUCUCCCAGACACAGGGUUAGGGG